UCCUUUUUCAAAUCAGUGAAAUUAAUCUCCCCGUGAAGAAGCGGGGAUACUCAUAUAAGACGAGAAGACCCCAUGGAGCUUCAAACCCAACUACACCCCUAGCUCUUAUAGCCCCACAACCCCCCUAGGCGCCGUGUGCUUGGUUUUAGGUUGGGGCGACCGCGGAGUACAAUAAAACCUCCACAAUGAAUGGGAACACCCCCUUAUCUGAGGGCCACACCCCCUAAGAAUUAGAACACUAACAUAAAAUGAUCCAUUACUUGAUCAAUGAACCAAGUUACCCUGGGGAUAACAGCGCAAUCCAUUUCAAGAGCCCCUAUCGACAAAUGGGUUUACGACCUCGAUGUUGGAUCAGGGUACCCCAGUGGUGCAGCAGCUACUAACGGUUCGUUUGUUCAACGAUUAAAACCCU
rnacentral:rRNA from 1 species